rnacentral:lncRNA from 1 species
AACCUGUUUGCCAAUUCAAGGUUGAAGGGAUUGACCACUUGUAGUAUCGGAAUAAGUUAGGCAGCGGGAAUUGGACGGCGAUGGCUUCGGUGCAGAUGGGCUGCCUUCAGGGUUUCUUUACUCUGAAUUCUCCGGGUAGGCAGGGUUCCUAUGCCAAAGUUUCUAUCCGUCCUUCUCUGUUCUCUCUCUUUCUUUUUCCUCAAGGUUUUGUUCCAAGGAAACCUCAGAGUGUUUUGCUUCUCUUCCUUCUUUCUCCAGUGAAUCUCCCAGUGUAAACUCCAAGUGUCACUCCCCCUACUGAAACUUCAGUAUUUAUAGACUAAUUUCGUGGGUAAUGGGCUUGGAAUGAGGGAGACCCAAGUCCAAAAUAAUUUGUUAUAUUUUAUUUAUUUAUUUAUUUUAAUUAUUUAAUUAAUUAAUUAAUUAA